AAUAGCAUAACACAAAAAACAAACUCAUCCAAUAUUUUGCAAUGCCAAGCCUGCCGUCAUAGCUUCCUGAAAUCAUUUCAUCUUCCUCCUGCAUGAACAAAAUGUUUCAGAUUAACAAAUAAUGAAUGUCGAACACAUCGGGGCACUGUAGAGUACUCUGUAGUGCACUACAAAAUAAAAAUAAUCAAUCUUUCUCUGCUCCCGCUCAGCUAUAACCUAAGCAGUUCAACAGAGUUACCCCACAGUUCUCUCCUCCCCAGUCUGAAGAUCGCUACCAACGCCCCUCUUCCAUGCCAUAGUUUGUACGGCUUGGUGAUGACGUCCACACCACAUAUCAUGGUAGUCAACCGAAGGAAG
rnacentral:lncRNA from 1 species